rnacentral:lncRNA from 1 species
GCGAAAAAGAAAAAAGGCCAAAGGGAAGAAGGUGGUGCUAACCCUUGCGGUCUUGAAAAAGCAGGAGACCAUGAAAGUGGUGAAUCUUCCAUUUGAGAAAUUUGGCACUGGACAGGACAUUUUGGCAUUGGACAGAACAUCCAGCCCAAAAGGGACCUCACUUGCUUUGUCAAAUGGCCCCAUUAUACUAGGUUGCAGCAGCAGAGAGCCAUCCUCUAUAAGCAGCUAGAAGUGCCUUCUGUGAUUAGUCAGUUCACCAGGGCCUUGGACCACCAAACAGCUGCUCAAUGGGGUAAGCUGGCUGGCAAGUACAGACCAGAGACAAAGCAAGAGAAGCAGCAGAGACUGUUGGCCUGGGCUGAGAAAAAAGCAAAGGAGACAUCCCCACUAAGAGAUCACCUGUCCUUUUAAUGGGGGUUAACGCUGUCACCACCUUAGUGGAGAAAAAGAAGGAUCAGCUGGUGAUGACUGCACAGGACAGAGAUCCCAUUGAGUUGGUUGUCUUCCUGCCUGCCCUGUGUUGUAAACUGGGGGUUCCUUACUGCAUUAUCUAAUGGAAGGCAAGCUUGAGACAUCUAGGAUUAAAAAACAAACAAAC